rnacentral:rRNA from 1 species
GACGAACGCUGGCGGCGUGCUUAACACAUGCAAGUCGAACGAUGAACCCGGAGCUUGCUCCGGUGGAUUAGUGGCGAACGGGUGAGUAACACGUGAGUAACCUGCCCUUGACUCUGGAUAACUGCGGGAAACUGUAGCUAAUACCGGAUACGACCCUCGGCGGCAUCGCCAGGGGGUGGAAAGAAUUUCGGUCAAGGAUGGACUCGCGGCCUUUCAGCUAGCUGGUGAGGUAACGGCUCACCAAGGCGACGACGGGUAGCCGGCCUGAGAGGGGAAGCGGCCACACUGGGACUGAGAAACGGCCCAGACUCCGACGGGAGGCAGCAGUGGAGAAUAGUGAAAAAUGGGCGCAAGCCUGAUGCAGCAACGCCGCGUGAGGGAUGACGGCCUUCGGGUUGUAAACCUCUUUUAGUAGGGAAGAAGCGAAAGUGACGGUACCUGCAGAAAAAGCACCGGCUAACUACGUGCCAGCAGCCGCCGUAACAC